GACGAACCGUGCGAACGUUAUUCGGAAUCACUGGGCUUAAAGCGCGUGUAGGCGGGGCGGAACGUCGGUCGCUGAAAGCCCCCGGCUCAACUGGGGAGGGUCACGCGGUACUGCUCGACUCGAAGGCAGGAGAGGGAAGUGGAAUUCCCGGUGUAGUGGUGAAAUGCGUAGAUAUCGGGAGGAACACCAGUGGCGAAGGCGACUUCCUGGCCUGUUCUUGACGCUGAGGCGCGAAAGCUAGGGGAGCAAACGGGG
rnacentral:rRNA from 1 species